UUGCCUCGUGCAACGCACCAUAUUACACCAUGAUGUGAUUCUACCUCCAUGAUCACACCAACAUGUGAUACAACACCAUGUUACACAGUAAGCCAGCUCUUAAGACGGCGAGGCUACGAACUGGGUUCGCUUUGUGGCGCAGUCUUGGAAGGCUCGUUGAAAAAUGCGACACACGUUGAAAAUGCGAUGCCCGUUGAAAAAUGCGACGCCCGUCGAAAAAUGCGACGUCCGUCGAAAAAUGCGACUGGCAGAUAUGGAACACCAUGCGUACCUAAGCUGGAUCGAGCUCAUCUCCGACAACCACGUGUCCUCAUUGCAACAGAUCUGUCUGCAGAGCAAGGAUCGGACUUUUAAGUUUCACCUUCGCUCUCACAACACCCAGCGAUCACGAUGGUACCGGUACAAGUCGUGGUCCUCUUCGCCAGCGAACAUCAAGCACCAUCGCGAGUUUCCAGCCUCUUGUAGGCUUGGCCUUCAUAUACACAUAUGCAAAAUGCGAGGGCAGUGGGCAUGGUGGAGAAGAUUUGAACAUUGAAACAGUCUUGUCGGGACAACAGCCACAUCCUAGUUAGGCCUACAUGUACAGUACUUGUUGAGAAUCAUGACUGAUGACAACGGCAACCUGGCACCGUAUGUGUAUGUACUGUGUGUAUGGCAACUGUUCGCAGACAUACAUGUAUAGUGUACUCUAGGAAUUAAUCCAGGCUGCAGUCAGCACCACAGCCAGUUACCCAGUAACUGAUCAUCAGGAGAAAGCCUGGUAGACUCGGAUCUUGGUGUGUUCAGUCUCCUACAACCUCUGAGUCAGUUUAACCAUGAUGGCGAUGGACUUCCUCUGCUGCCUGUCAAGUUCGACGUGGAAGGAAAGGUCAUGCUUAUUGGCAAUCGCAGUACAGUUGAGGUACUUUUCCAACACACUAGAUGAUCCUGAUGGCUCUGUGUGAACAACCUUACUUGUACUGAUGUCCUCAGUUUCAAAACUCAUGGUGUAUUCAUAGAGCACGGUGGAGUGAGUUCGCUGCUGAGGUGCUUUAGGACAAGGUGGACCCAGGACAAGUGUGGCUCCUUACAGAGAGAGCCUAUGUGUCUGGUAAGAUUGUUGCCAUAUUUCCAUAUCCAGGUUGGAGUCCUUACCAAAGAAAGAGAAGCAAAGGAUGAUGGGAGGCAUGGCAACUGAAGACAGGUUCACAGCUGCAGUAUAGAAGUGUUUGUAAAUACACAUGCAUGUGAUGGAAUUCUGGGCAUUUCAUUUCCAGGUACGAGAUGUUUCAAAAUCUGAAUAAGAACAUGUCCAGUGUUAUCAUUAUUAGGAUUGCGUGUGUAAUAAAUAUUUACAGCAAUCUGGUGAGCCGUUGGCAGGAAUGACUCAUUAUUGCUAUAUUUGGUACUGGCAUCCAUGUACACACAUGUACCGGUACCAUUGCAUGUAUUACUGGCAAAGCUUAAUAUUUCUGGUAUUGAGUUUUCAUUGGGCUUCAUCAUAGCCAUGAUUUACCUCAAGUAACAUCAAGUCGUGUGUCAUGGUUAUCAUAUUCGUAAAACAUGUAAAAUGUGGAAUGAUGGAACACUAUCGGUUCUGCGAAAGAUAUUAACCUUUUUGUCUUAAGUCUACCACAAAGCAGUGUGUUAUAAGGAUAAAAAAGAAAACUCAACAGAAAUCUGAAGAAAUGAACAAUAUUCGUCAUCGGGUCAGUGCUAUAGGUCAUUACAGUAAAAGUACACUUUUAGAAAAUACUUGCGGGGCCUGACUCUGAACAAGCAGGAAAUGCAUUGAAUUAGUUCCCCGGGGCCAGUAGAUUUAGAUUUCAAUACAUUUUCUUGCCUGAUUUCAUGUUUAAAGUAGUAUUUUUCAAUAAGGACCUGUUAAUGCAAUUUUUUCAGAAAGGAUGUUUUUAGCAAGCACUGACACAACGUCACGAGCCCUUUAAGACUGCCAAAUACCUCAUCAUCUAAGUAGUGGUAUUCAUACGGUAAACUGAUGAUUAUUGGGCCAAGACUGCUCGCUGGUACUCUUAAACAAGCGCACUCCAUCAACGUUUCAGUGGACAGACAUACACAUGCGUUAUCUUUGUCAGCAAUGGCAAGGAAAUCAGAACUAGAUGCCCAGGAAGACUUCACACCUUUCUAUAUAUGCUGAACUGAUAACAAUUCCCUCCAGAAAUGUCUUUUAAUUGUAUUGGGGCCGUACAAGUAAAGAUCAAAGUCCAAGAUUCCUUUUGUAAAUUUAGGAUGUGUGGUUUGAGUAUCGCCAGUCGGAAACAAACAUACAUGUAGCACGAGGGGAUGUUGCUGUUCACUGCCCAUUCUCUUACCAGUAGCUUAAACUUUGUUUCACCUUUGGUACUGGCCUCUCUAUCUUCAUUUCCCAACUCAAAAUCACUAUGAACAUUGUUUAAAGUUGGGUGGUGUACACCAUACUUUACACACAACGGAAAUGCAGAGCUCAUAUGUUACUUGCUAGCUGCACUAAUGGCAAGUGUUGGCGUUUGUUCUAUAUAGUAUGAUAUAUACGUGUGUGGUAAUAAAAAUAGAGAGUGGCUCUGGCCUUGCAGUGUCAGCAAGCUGACAUGGCCUGGCUCAAGGAUUGCCCUUUAGAAAUGCAUACUCAGCACAUCCCCUUUUCUUUAAUUAAUGUUUUGAAGAGAUCGUUGCUAUAAACAAAGUUCCUUGCAUAAUACAUCAAUCCCAAAGAAUCCAAAGGACAUGUUGAGAUUGAGAACGCAUUUGGAUCAUUUCAUGAAGGAUAGUAGUCAGAUUAUAGAGUUCAUGAGAAAUGUUAGGAAAUUUUGAAAUAAUACAGUUCAGUGCAUUCAUUCAAAUAAAACAAGUACCAAGAGCUGGGACGCAUUCAUUCCAAA